rnacentral:rRNA from 1 species
UGCCCAACGAGAUCGGGAUAACACCUGGAAACAGAUGCUAAUACCGGAUAACAACAGAUGAUGCCUAUCAACUGUUUAAAAGAUGGUUCUGCUAUCACUCUUGGAUGGACCUGCGGUGCAUUAGCUAGUUGGUAGGGUAACGGCCUACCAAGGCGAUGAUGCAUAGCCGAGUUGAGAGACUGAUCGGCCACAUUGGGACUGAGACACGGCCCAAACUCCUACGGGAGGCAGCAGCG